CGAGCAAUAGCUCAAAGGUAGAGCAGACACCUUAUAAGUGUAAGAUAAGAGUUCGAUUUCUCUUUUGCUCGA
rnacentral:tRNA from 1 species